CACGGGGAGGUAGUGACGAAAAAUAACGAUACGGGACUCAUCCGAGGCCCCGUAAUCGGAAUGAGUACACUUUAAAACUUUUCCCGAGGAUCAAUUGGAGGGUAAGUCUGGUGCCAGCAGCCGCGGUAAUUCCAGCUCCAAUAGCGUAUAUUAAAGUUGUUGCGGUUAAAAAGCUCGUAGUCGAAUCUGUGUCCCGCGCCGCUGGUUCAUCGCUCGCGGUGUUUAACUGGCGUGUCUCGCGGGACGUCCUGCCGGUGGGCGCUCGUAUCGCUUCGGUGGUGCGUGGCCCAACUCGUAGCCGUCUCGCGCGGUUGCGAAUCCCAUCGCGGUGCUCUUUGUUGAGUGUCGAGGUGGGCCGGCACGUUUACUUUGAACAAAUUAGAGUGCUUAAAGCAGGCCAAUUUUGCCUGAAUAUUGUGUGCAUGGAAUAAUGAAAUAGGACCUCGGUUCUAUUUUGUUGGUUUUCGGAACCCCGAGGUAAUGAUUAAUAGGAACGGAUGGGGGCAUUCGUAUUGCGACGUUAGAGGUGAAAUUCUUGGAUCGUCGCAAGACGGACAGAAGCGAAAGCAUUUGCCAAAAACGCUUUCAUUGAUCAAGAACGAAAGUUAGAGGUUCGAAGGCGAUCAGAUACCGCCCUAGUUCUAACCAUAAACGAUGCCAGCUAGCGAUCCGCCGACGUUCCUCCGAUGACUCGGCGGGCAGCUUCCGGGAAACCAAAGCUUUUGGGUUCCGGGGGAAGUAUGGUUGCAAAGCUGAAACUUAAAGGAAUUGACGGAAGGGCACCACCAGGAGUGGAGCCUGCGGCUUAAUUUGACUCAACACGGGACACCUCACCAGGCCC
rnacentral:rRNA from 1 species